GGGGGCGACUUGGUAUCGACGAAGAUGCUGAACCUUGUAGGGCAUGUCGGGAUGGCACUCUCGUUAAAAAGGCUACUUGCAAUAAUUGCAAACGACGACGUAGAACUAGCUUACGCUGCGUAAGUUACCCCGCUCUUGAGGUGUCCAUCCAUUGAGAAUCCGGGGCCAUUUAGAUGGAAUCGCUACUACAGAACGGAGACUCGUGGUCUGUAGGGUUAAAUAGCUACGAAUCGACCCCGU
rnacentral:tmRNA from 1 species